CCUACGUGUGGCAGCAGUGGGGAAUAUUACACAAUGGGGGAAACCCUGAUGCAGCGACGCCGCGUGCGUGAAGAAGUAUCUCGGUAUGUAAAGCUCUAUCAGCAGGGAAGAAAAUGACGGUACCUGACUAAGAAGCCACGGCUAACUACGUGCCAGCAGCCGCGGUACUACGUAGGGGGCAAGCGUUAUCCGGAUUUACUGGGUGUAACGGGAGCGUAGACGGCGCUGCAAGUCCGGAGUGAAAGCCCCUGGCUUAACCAUGGUACUGCUCUGGACACUGUGGAGCUUGAGGGCGGGAGGGGCAGGCGGAAUUCCUAGUGUAGCGGUGAAAUGCGUAGAUAUUAGGAGGAACACCGGCGGCGAAGGCGGCCUGCUGGACCGUAACUGACGUUGAGGCUCGAAAGCGUGGGGAGCAAACAGGAUUAGAUACCCCCGUAGUC
rnacentral:rRNA from 1 species